rnacentral:rRNA from 1 species
UGUUGGAUUAAUUCGAUGCAACGACGAAAACCUUAACCUACCCUUCGACAUGUCCGGAAUCCCGAAGAGAUUUGGGAGUGCUCGCAAGAGAGCCGGAACACAGGUGCUGCAUGGCUGUCGUCAGCUCGUGUCGUGAGAUGUUGGGUUAAGUCCCGCAACGAGCGCAACCCUUGUCAUUAGUUGCCAUCAUUUGGUUGGGCACUCUAAUGAGACUGCCGGUGACAAACCGGAGGAAGGUGGGGAUGACGUCAAGUCCUCAUGGCCCUUAUGGGUAGGGCUUCACACGUCAUACAAUGGUCGGUACAGAGGGUUGCCAACCCGCGAGGGGGAGCUAAUCCCACAAAGCCGAUCGUAGUCCGGAUCGCAGUCUGCAACUCGACUGCGUGAAGUCGGAAUCGCUAGUAAUCGUGGAUCAGCAUGUCACGGUGAAUACGUUCCCGGGUCUU